rnacentral:lncRNA from 1 species
GGCAGAAAGAACUGGGAAACAGAGUUAAUUAAAAGGAGAUUUUAAGACAAUGGUUGGGAUGAAAGCGAGCAAGGCGCGUUCCUGCUCAAACCUGAUUUAAACUUGACUUCUUGACAGACAGCAGGUCCUCCUGGGCGCAGCCCCCGCCCAGGUGCAGAGGCUCGUCUUUGUCCCCAGGGGCCUCACAGGGGAGAGAGUCAGCACCCUUUCAGCUGCAGCAAUCCGAGGUGUCCACCCUGCGCACUGACCCCCUGCCAGGAUGACUGCAGAGAACAGGUGACUGGAGAGGCAGAACCAGAAAUGGGCGGGUCACCAACUGCCCCAUCCAGGACGACAGGCCCGCUGCGCGGCCCAGACCCGCAUCCCGGUGCUGUGCACAAGGACCCACUUCAGAAAGCUCGCCCCCAGGGCGUGAAGCCCACGAAGCCGCCGGCCUCCCGCUCCAUCCUGCCAGCCUGCGUCCCCUCGGCGCCCUCUGUGCCCACGCUCACUGACAAUGCUCCCCAGGACGGGCACACGGGGGAAGUCCGGGACAGAGGCUGGCACUGA